rnacentral:tRNA from 1 species
GGGAAUGUGGCUUAGUGGUACAGUGCUUGCCUAGCAUGCAGGUAGCCCUGGGUUCAAUUCCUCAAUACCA